ensembl:lncRNA
UCCCUGUCCUUGUAGUUGCCCCCAUCCCAAUGUCCCCAAUCUCCCCAUCCCCACUUUCCCCAUCCCAAUGUCCCCAAAAUCCCCAUCCCCACUGUCCCCAAAAUCCCCAGUGUCCCCAAUCUCCCCAUCCCAACAUCCCCAACCCUACCCUUCUUGUCCCCAUCCCAAAUGUCCCCAAUCUCCCCAUCCCCACUGUCCCCCAUCCCAUUGUCCCCCAAUCUCCCCAUCCCAACAUCCCCAUCCCUGUCCUUGUAGUUGUCCCCAUCCCAACGUCCCCAAUCUCCCCAUCCCCACUGUCCCCCAUCCCAUUGUCCCCAAUCUCCCCAUCCCCACUUUCCCCAUCCCAAUGUCCCCAAUCUCCCCAUCCCCACUGUCCCCAAUCCCAAUGUCCCCAAUCUCCCCAUCUCCAAAGUCCCCCAUCCCCACUGUCCCCAUCCCAAAUGUCCCCAAUCUCCCCAUCCCCACUGUCCCCAAUCCCAACGUCCCCAAAUCCCCAUCCCAACAUCCCCAUCCCUAUCCUUCUUGUCCCCAAUCCCAACGUCCCCAAAUCUUCCCAUCCUCCAACCGUGGGUGCAGACCAGCCCGACCAGCUCAUCCGGUGCUGUGACACGUGGGGCCACGGGGACAAGUUUGGUGACACGUGUGGCCACGUGGGGCCAUGGGGACAAGUUUGGUGACACGUGUGGCCACGGGGACGAAUUCGGUGACACGUGUGUCCCCAUAUCGGGACACGUGUGUCCACGGGGACAGGGACAAGGAUGGUGCCACGCCGCAAGGGCUUUAUUGGGACCGCGGGGAGGGUGACAGCGCCAUUCCCCUAUUUGUCACAUCCCCCACAGCCCGAUUCCUGCCCCGAUCCACUGCUGGAUCCCGAUUCGUAGGUCCCGGAUCCGGAGCUGUAAGCAUAUCCUGCAUUAGGACCGUGGCGGAUGGGGAUGUGACCCCCAAUCCUGGCUGGAUCCCGAAGCCCCGGCACGAAGGGGAUCCCAGGGUUCUUGUAUACGGGGCGCAGGGAUCCGCUUCCAUAGGAUCCCGAUCCCCCAUAGGAUCCCGAUCCGCCUCCGUAGGAUCCCGAUCCCCCAUAGGAUCCCGAUCCGCCUCCGUAGGAUCCCGAUCCCCCAUAGGAUCCCGAUUCCCCCUCCGGAAGAUCCUGAUCCCCCAUAGGAUCCCGAUCCGCCUCCAGAAGAUCCCGAUCCCCCAUAGGAUCCCAAUCCCCCAUAAGAUCCCGAGUCUUCUCCAUAAGAUCCCGAGUAACCCCCAUAAGAUCCUGGUCCGCCCCCGUAGGAUCCCGAAUCAUAUCCAUAGGAUGCGGGGAGCCCAUAGGAUCCCGAGCUGCCUCCAUAGGAGCUUGAUCCCCCAUAGGACCCCGAUCCGCUGCCUCCUUGGGAUCCACUCCCCCCUUGGGAUCCAGGUCUUCCUGAUCCACUUCCCCCUUGGGAUCCAGGUCUCCCUGAUCCUGAUCCCGAUCCCGAUCCCGAUCCCCCUUGGGAUCCAGGUCUCCCCGAUCCCGAUCCUCCUUGGGAUCCAGGUCUUCCCAAUCCAUAGGGCAGAAGUCCAUAGGAUCCUGGUGGCCCACCAGAUUCCGGCGAGACGAAAGAUCCUGAUCCGUCCCCUUGGGAUCCCGGUCGGCUUCCGUAGGAUCCUGGUUUACCUCCACUGGAUUCCGGUGACACAUAGGACCCAGAUCCACUUCCUCGUCCUGGCGAUGCCCCCGAUCCACCCCCAUAGGAUCCUGAUCCGCCCCCAUAGGAUCCUGAGCUGCUCCCAUAGGAUCCCGAUCCACCGCCAUGGGAUCCCGAUCCACUUUGGGAUCCCGGUCUGCCCCCAUAGGAUCCCGAACUGCUCCCAUAGGAUCCCGAUCCACCGCCAUGGGAUCCCAAUCCGCCAUAGGAUCCCGGUCCGCUGUAGGAUCCCGAGCUGCUCCCAUAGGAUCCCGGUCCACUAUAGGAUCCCCCUCCCCCUCCGGAGGACCCCGCUGCGUCCCCCCCAGUUUGGGGGCUGAGGAAUCCAGUGGGUUCCUUGCAGGGAUCCACCCCGGCCAUCAGCGGGCUCAGAUGGGAUCCCGAGUCGCAGUCGGAAGCAGCGCCUGGAGAAGUGGAGGGGAGCCUGUCUGCGUCCCCCCCAGUUUGGGGGCUGAGGAAUCCAGUGGGUUCCUUGCAGGGAUCCACCCCGGCCAUCAGCGGGCUCAGAUGGGAUCCCGAGUCGCAGUCGGAGGCAGCGCCUGGAGAAGUGGAGGGGAGCCUGUGCCAGUCCAUCCCAGUCCAUCCCAGUUUGUUCCAGUCCAUCCCAGUCCAUCCCAGCCCAUCCCAGUCCAUCCCAGUCCAUCCCAGUCCAUUCCAUUCCAUCCCAUCUCACCCCAGUCCAUCCCAGUCCAUCCCAGUGCAUCCUAGUUUAUCCCAUCUCACCCCAGUCCAUCCCAGUCCAUCCCGGUCCAUCCCAGAUUGCCCCAGUCCAUCCCAGUCCAUCCCAGUCCAUCCCAGCCCAUCCCAGUCCAUCCCAGUGCAUCCUAGUUUAUUCCAUCUCACCCCAGUCCAUCCCAGUCCAUUCCAUUCCAUCCCAUCUCACCCCAGUCCAUCCCAGUCCAUCCCAGUCCAUCCCAUCUCGCCCCAGUCCAUCCCAGUUCAUCCCAACCCCAGCUCACCCCAGCAUCCAUUUCAUUUCAUCCCAGUCCCAUCCCAGUCCCUCCCAGUCCAUCCCAGUCCAUCCCAUUUCCCACCCCAAUCACUCCCAGUUCUCCCAGUCCCCCUCCCAGCCCCUCCCAGCGCC